GUUUUUUACUUAUAAAGUUACUAAUUUCUAUCUAGUUCAUUACAUGCAAAUUAAGGGCAUAAAAUAUGGCUGAAAUUCCAAAAUUUGUUUAUGCUUUAAUCAGCUUUCUUUCUCUUAUUCUGGUCUUAAGCAGCAAUGAGAUUGAACACUGCGAAACUCAUUCAGAUUGUCCACAUUAUAUGUGUGACUCACCUCAAACUCCUUGGUGCAUGGCAUACGAAUGUUGGUGCUUCUAAAUGUAAUAGUUAACUUAAAAAUCAAUUCUCUAUUUCUUUAAGCUUAUAAUUGGAUUUGUAAUAUUGUUGCUAUUUAAGAUUUUCUCCUGCUUCGAUUUA